rnacentral:lncRNA from 1 species
UCACUCUAUAUAAAUGGUAUUAUAUAAUUUAUUUAUUAUACAGAAGACACAUUUAAGAUGACUGUAACAAAUUGAACGAGUUACAAACACACACCAUUACUUGCAUCAACCUCAUUCCGUACAUGCGCGCGCGCGCGCGCGUGUAAAAACAGCAACAUGACGUAUAAGCGAUGACCUCAUAAUUUGGAUAGGGUUUUAGAGGCCGUGAAAAAUAGGAACCACAUAAAUUUGCAUACAAAUAAACAAAUUUAAUUAAUUAAAAAAUAAUAAAAUCCACCACCGGGUCAAACAAUGCGGCCGCCUUCCCAGUGUUCGUCAAUUAUUAUAUAUACACACCACCCGCCUUACACACCCGUUUUCUAUAUAUCUUCGUUCAUUCCGCCUUAUGUAUAUAGAAACGUGUAUGUGUAUAUAUAUAUAUAUAUGUAUACGUGUAUAUAUAUAUAUAUAACGUAUACGGAAGCAAAGGUGAUAGAGCUUGUGACAGAUGAAAAUGGAGGCAUAUAGAGAUUUCCUACGCAGGAGAGAUGGCGCCGUCAGCCGUGCCUAUCUCCAUUGGGUGAGCGACUAGCUUGGCUGCCGGCAUCAUGUCUCUUGCAUAGGACAUCUCGCAUGUGUUUAUAUAUGUAUGUAUGUAUGUAUUUGUGUCUCGCACGUGUGUGUAUAUAUACAUAUAUAUAUAUAUAUAUGUACAUACAACGCACACAUAUCUUAUAUCUUGGUUUCCAAAGAAAUUAUGCUGUGAGAGCUGAUUCAGAAGCCAACUACUAAUCUUCCUUCUUUACAAGUGAAAAUGAGAAAUAAGUGAAAAGAUGAGAGACCAAAAUUUAUGUUUUUAUAUAUUUUUUGGAUUUAAUUAACUAAUUAUUCUUUUACUCUCCACUAAUUCGAUUAAUUAACUGGCUAAUUUUGAUUAGUAAAUUUGUGGUUUUCGCUUUUGUCUUUUUUCUACUUCAUUCACAGAAAAUCAAUUAUAUUCGAUGUAUCUUAUAAUAUAAGAUAAUUUUUUUUUAAUAGAUCCAUUUAAUUUAAUACAAGUUGGUUAUAAUUAUUUUAUAUGUGAUUAUUGUACGACUAACUUACACU